GUGUCGGAUGACUUCCCCAGGACGACAGCCGUGCUUCGUAGUCGUAGAAGGUUAUAUCCGGUUGUUGUUAUAUCCCGCGGCGAGGAGCAUCGUAGAAGAAGCGCGCGGAGGGAGCGGCCCCAUCGGUGUAACGCUAACGUCUCGUCGACGUCGACGUCGUCGGUGGUGCGCCGACUUGCUGCGACCUAUCCGCGUCAUACCCACGUCGCAUACCCCGUGCACGCGCGUACAUCGCCACCGCCGUGAUGGCGGAGCUACCUCAGCCCGACAUGUCGCACCUCACCCCCGAGGAGAGGCGCAUCAUAGAGGGUGUUUUAAUGCGCCAAAAAGAAGAGGAGGAGCAGGAUCAUGAGAUUCUGAGGCGAAAGCAGGAUGAGGUGCAAAUCCUCGAAGAAACAAUACGUAUGCGCUCCGAGAUACACAAAAAGGCGGGAGUGGAGCUGAACGCCACGUGUCACAUAUGCCUGAAAACCAAGUUUGCCGACGGCGUCGGCCACAUCUGCAAUUACUGCAACAUCCGGUGCUGCGCACGCUGCGGCGGAAAGGUCACACUACGGUCAAGCAAGGUGAUAUGGGUGUGCAUACUUUGUCGGAAGAAGCAGGAACUUCUUUCGAAGACCGGACAAUGGAUGUCGAAGACGGGUCUCGGUGCCGUGGACAACGCGCUGCUGCGACAAAUGCAGGAAGACUUGCAGGUGGGUGGUCAUCAGGGACUCGCGGACCAAACUCGGGAUAAAAGACCGAAACUCGAGAGGGCGCACAGCGCGGCUGAGAAAGAGAAUUUGCCGUUAUUACAGAGAAGCGGAAACUGUCCUCUCAGGAGACAGUACUCACAGCAAGAGCAGAUCACGGGUCGCCGAAUGUCCACGAGCGACAGCGGAGUGGAAAUGUCAAUUUCACCUCACGCGAGAUCCCUACCGACACCUCACGUAGGAAUCGUAGGAUCUUAUCCGGUGCAACAAAUUCCGAGACACCCCGCAGUUUACCCCGACGAUGAUCCCAGUCUAUACCGAGGCGAGAUCGACGGUCUGAUGAAACAACAUUCAAACUAUCAGAGGCAACGGCCGACCUAUCAAGAUCAGAGUGCAGACCUCGGAAUGACUUAUGGUCAGACGCCGAUGGAAACUGGUUCCGCUCGCACUACAAUGCAUCUCUCUCAGCAGCAUUCGAUGCAUCAGACGCAAGUCGGACGUUCCGCGCAACCUGCGUCAACGGUGGGCGUCAAGCAGCAAAGAAGUUUCAGUAGUAGUGACGAAGAACGUAGCACACCGGAGUGCGCCAGUGACGAGCCGGACGAGUCGGAAAAGGGGAAGGGAUACUACCACCACACAGGAGGUCCGAAAUCGAUGUCCAGUGGGCGUAGGCACAACGGAUCCCACAAUGGGUACCACGGUGCGGGCGCGAGCAUGGUCAUCGAGCAUAACGGCCAUCAUCCACCGCGAGAGCCGCGAAAAGAAGAGAGCACUCUUGUCAGACGGAGUUUCCGAAGGUGCGGCGACGAGUGGCGCGCCGAUAGUAGGAGGUUCACGGAGAGGAGGGGGAAAAAGACAGUGCGUUUUGACGGUGGGACCAAUGUCGGCGGCUCUCAGGAGGAGGAAUGGUCUUGGGAGGCCGAUCGGCAGGGUAGCCAAGACAGCGCGACCAAAGACUCCGGGAUAGACACUUCUAGCACCUUCACGAGCAGUGAAGACAGCAACAGGGGCGAUCUGCCCAAGCAUCCAUCCUGGCAAGUGAGCGAAGACGGUGAGAAGAUCAUCGGCCACAUGGUCUUACGAAAGUCGGCUGGUUCCGGGAGCUGUAGUAGUAUACUCGGGCUAAAAGUUGUCGGCGGGAAAUUAUUGGAAGACGGUUCCAUGGGAGCGCUGAUCGAGAAGGUGAAAGAGGGUAGCACGGCGGACGUAGAAGGUCAACUUAGGCCCGGUGACGAGGUGAUCAUGUGGAAUGGAAGAUCCCUUCAGGGCAAGAGCUUCCAAGAAGUUUACGACAUCAUCGCCGAGUCGAGGCUGGAGCCGCAGAUCGAACUCGUAGUUGAGAGGAAGUUGUCGUCGACGGCAACAGGCUUGCCGCUUUCAGAACCGGGCCCGUCGACGUCCAUGGCGUCGAGGAGGAUGGUCGCCCAGAGUCAAUGGAGACAGAAACACGAGACCAUCUCCGGGCCUCAGCAACCGCAUCACAAAGGUCUUAAGAAAUGUAUUCUGUGGGAGUUGUACGACGCGAGGCGUGAGAAACCCUCGGUUUUAGUGACGUCGCCCGGCUCGCCGGACCUGUACGCCCAAGGACGCAGUCGACAUUCGACCGACGUCCGACAUCCGACCGGACAUGCGAACGUGGGCGGUAGCAUUCAGGUGAAGCUGGGUUACGAUCCCAUGCAACUUCAGCUGAACGUCACGAUAAUUUGCGCCGCGGGGCUCGCGCCAAAGAGCAACGGCCAACCAAGAAAUCCUUACGCCAAGGUUUUUCUACUUCCUGACAAAAGCGAGAAAUCGAAACGCCGAACGAAGACCGUGGCGAACACAAACGAUCCUAGGUGGAAUCAAACUUUCGUUUAUACGAAAGUCAGACGUUCGGAGCUGCGGAAAAGAGCGCUCGAGAUUACGGUCUGGGACUACGCGAGGUACGAGGUGAACGAUUUUCUCGGCGAGGCUGUCCUGGAAUUGGCAGUAUGUCCCUUAGACGAGGAACCAGAAUGGCAUUCUCUGACUGCUCACGGAGAACACCGGCACUUGAGACAUUACCAAGAUUCCGAUGACAUGAUAGACUGUCAUCUUAGUCCACCGUCGACCACCUCGAGAUUAAGUGACUCCGACACCUCGGAGUGCGAUAUUACGGACUGCGACGUGUCGAGAGAACCAAGAAGAACGGCCGACGGUGCCAGCAUAAGUAGUAUCGGCAGUUCCUCUAGGUUUCAUAAUAUGCCGUCAAAUUAUAAGCGCCACCAUUCUAGCCCGCCGCUGGAGAGGGAGUUCUGCGCGGACGGUGAACAUCGGAGUCGACGAGACAUGUCGCCGCAAGGACGCAAGAGAGCCGCUCUUAUGAUAUCCCGCGAUCAGCCCGCUUCUAUCGGAUCAGCUUAUCAAACAUAUCGUAAGGACGACAUCCAUCGGGGAAUGAUGAGUCACAGGUCGCAUAGCGCAGCGCCUAUGGACUCUCCGAGUGUCAGAUACCGAGGAAGGUCUCAGAGUCCCACUGGUCAUCGUUCUUUGUCUCCGCCCGAGCAAAGAUCCAUUCCCUACUUGCACGGAUAUGUUCAUACGACGAGAUUUGGCUCAAGAUCGGCAACUGCCACUCCCACCGGUUCCCCGAAGAAACGCCAGCUACCUCAAAUCCCGGCAGCCUUGAAGGAAAGGGUCGCGCAAGAUUUAGAAGAACGAGCGAGGUUUAUGAGACACCGCAACAGGCCGUCGAUAUACAGAAGCACGGGUAUGGGAGGCUGGGAAAAGCACUAUAGUGGCCUUUCGGACUCUGACCUUCCUUCAAUGGGACACGAUUCGCUAGCAUUAUCACACAGUCACGCUCAUAGAAUACACAGACCGAGGAGAGGACACUUAAGUCCCGACAAGGACAUACUCGGUGAUCUCGGCGACUCGGACAUGGAAAGCAUAGCUUCGGUAACGAGCAGUGCCUUUAGUACACAAUCGGAACGACCACGUGGAUCGAGAUUAAUGGAGUACAGCGGCCAGUCGAGCUCGUACGAGAAGACGUCGUCCAGACAUCAGGUCACCGACAACGGGCACGACGACAAGAGGAACCAGUUCACGAGAAGUCUCAGCAACGCCGACGUGCCCCAAGACGAGAAAGACACGGGUAGUUUCAGCGACACGGCGAUUGCUCUUAACGUUGAAGACGCGUCGAGAAGAGGCCGCAAGAGCUCGCCGGGAAGUAAAAGCGGAAGCGGAAGCAGCAGCGGAAGCGCGGUACAAUAUCAAGCCGGUCUGGGCAAGAAGAGUAACAGCACCAGCCAGUUGUCCGCGACAGGACGGAAACGGCGGCUGGGUUUCGGGAAGAAGGGGAAGUCGUCCUUUACAGUUCACAGGAGCGAGGAGGUCUUGCCGCCGGAGGAUACGGUCGGUAGCGGUAGGAGCGGCCGGCAGCCAAGCUCCGCGAGCAGCGACGGCGAGGGGAGCGGCGACGGGGACAGUUGGUCUCCCAGUCUGCGAAUGGCAGGCGAAGGGCAGUUGAGAGACUUCAUCGAAGAUCUUGGACCGGGUCAAGUGGUCGGAAGACAAGCACUUGGUGCCCAUUGCCUCGGCGAGAUUCAACUAUCGUUGAGCCACACGAGGGGUUACCUUGAAGUAGAGGUCAUACGUGCCAAAGACCUUAAACCGAAACAAGGCAGCAAAGUGAUACCAGCUCCAUACGUAAAACUUUAUCUGGUGAACGGCAAGAGAUGUAUAGAAAAAGCGAAAACAGCGAUGGCGAGAAAAACAUUGGAUCCGUUCUAUCAACAGUUAUUGGCUUUCAAAGAAAACUGCCGAGGUUGUAUAUUACAGGUGACAGUGUGGGGUGACUACGGCCGAAUAGAAGGGAAAAAAGUGUUCAUGGGUAUUGCACAGAUCGUAUUAGAUGAGCUGGACCUCAAUCAGAUGGUGUUCGGAUGGUACAAGCUGUUUGACACCCAAGCCCUGGUCAGUGGAGCUCCAUCCCUUGCUUUGUCCCGUCGAUCUUCGGCCACGUCUCUCGAUUCUUUUAAAAUCUAAAAGAACGACCAGAACGUACCGAAGAGAGAAUGUUACCGAAAUAUUCCUUUUAUAUGUAUUUUAAUGGGAAAUCUUUGAGUUUUUUUACAGUAGACAUAAAAGUAGAGCAAAACACGAUUGAGUUCGAGCUCCUAUCGCGAUGCACCUCUAGUUUCGCUUUUACCAUUAAUAAAAUACCGAAAUGCACGAGUCUCAAUGUGUAAGAUAGUAUUAUAUUCACUGAUUACAAAAAAAAAAAGAAAGAUUAAAAGUGAAAAAUCAUUGUAAAUCGGUUUUAACAACGUAAAAUGAGACAAAUUUUAAAUGACACGCGGAAGAUCAUCGCUUAAUGGAUAAUUACAUGUAUACUCAAGUGUAAAAUAUACAUAUUGUAGAAAAUAGAAACUAUUCACACACAUACAUCACUGUUAUAUGUAAAAAGUUGAGAAAUAUCAUGAUGGUAGAUAAUUCUCUAUCGUGUGUCUCGUAAAUUAUCACUUAUAUUCUUCACUGCAGUUGAUACACAAGUUUGAAAAAAAAAACUUUAUUACACGCUACUCUGUAAGCUAAUUUACUGUUGAAAAGCCUAACACUACUAAAUGAGUAACGUUCGGCUCUGAAUACGGUAAAGUCACAGUAAUUAACGAAGAAACACAAAGAACAGAGUACAUAUGUAGUAACGGAUAGUAAAAACAUGUUAAGCGAGAUCGGAAUAAAAAUGAUCAAAAGAACACACGUUACCACAAAGACGACGCGAGAGAAUGCGGAAAGAGUGAAAGAACGUACGAAAGGAUAUGUCUUUCUAGAGAAAACACCACUAGUACAUCACAUAUCAUGUACGGCAUAUCAGACGAGCCACUAGUCUGUAUGUAGACUAGAUGUAGACGUAGCCAGCCAUGUUCCCGGAGCGCCAGAUAGUUUUUAGUGAAAACAAAGCAAACCGAGCAAGUUUGGGACAGAUGUGAACUCAAAUGUGGUGUACUAGGUAAAAUAAGAUGUGAAACGAUGUGAAAUCUUAAAUGUGAUUAAGUGAGUAAUAAGAAAAUUAAUGAAUACAAUGAGAAAUGGAGCAACAAACGGUCCGUGGACUUCAUUUAAUCGUCAUGAAGAGAAAACAAAAUGUUGAAAAAUGUUGAAAGAACAUAUAUAAAUAUAUUACAUAUACUAAUGAAAACAAAAGACGUUUCGAAACUUUGUAUAUAAUUUAGGACAGUUCAAGUACUUAAAUACCGAUCUCCGAAGCGAUCGACUAAAAAAAAAAAAAAAAGACGUUUAUCGUUGUCAAAUUUUUAGUCAAGAAAAUAUUACACACUCACAUUCAGAGAAUAUAUGAUUUAAUGUAAAUAAUAUAAUAAUUAUAUAUGAAUUUGUGCGAUAUGUGUGUGCGCGCAGGUUUGAAUGGGUAAUGACGUUUGACUUAUAGUUUCUAACAAUAAUUGUUAUUAUAAUUUUCACACAUUUUUUGUUAAUUAGAGAUUUUUAAACUCAAUCUAAAUUAUUAUUAUUUUUUUUUUAACUCAGCGUCGGAAUAUUUAGAUUGUACGAUGAUGUGAUUAAUUACACAGUUCAUUCCUUGAUAACAUUCAUUGUACAAUUAUUCGGCUUUUUUUACUUUCGUUUAAACUAACUUGUGUCCAAAAAUGAGACAUUCAUUAUGAUAUAAAGAAUGUGGAAAUAAGUAAGUACCCACGUUUUGCAAGUACGAAGCAGACUGACAAAUCGAUUCCUAUACGCAUUUCUAGUUUGGUUGUUUUUCGUUGAUUAGCAUUUUCAAAGGUGUGUAAAGAGAAGCUAUUAUUACAUCCAAAAACUCAUAAAUUAGCUCUUUGUUUGGUAAAUUUUAUUUGACAAUUUUAUUCGCACAUAAGAGAAACAGUUUUUUGAAACAAAUUGAAGAAGUAAGCCGCCCAUACAAUUCGCGUGAAUGGGACGCGUCGUGGCAAAAAGUUCUCUCUUUCGUACUGAUUUUGUACAAAACAAAAAAAAAGACAAAAAACAGCAAAUGCCCCCCACUAAGUGUUUAAGAGGCUUUGUAAAUCUCUGUAAGAAGUACGUAAAAAAAAAAAUGCUUGUCAUUAAUUUUAUAUCUUAAUUAUCGUGCUAUGUGUUCGCGCGGGCGCGCGCGAUCUUUUCUCGUGCGUAUGUCGAACACUCGCAAAGAUACAUUCAGUGAGUAUGCACAUACACGUUUAAAAGCGUCUGCUCUCUCUGUGAAUUAGUAAAUAAUUACAUUCCUGCUCCGAGUAAGAAAGAGAGAGAGAGAGAAAUAGAGAGAGAGAAAGGGAGAGAAAGA